GACGAACGCUGGCGGCGUGCCUAAUACAUGCAAGUCGAACGCUUCUUUCCUCCCGAGUGCUUGCACUCAAUUGGAAAGAGGAGUGGCGGACGGGUGAGUAACACGUGGGUAACCUACCCAUCAGAGGGGGAUGACACUUGGAAACAGGUGCUAAUACCGCAUAACAGUUUAUGCCGCAUGGCAUAAGAGUGAAAGGCGCUUUCGGGUGUCGCUGAUGGAUGGACCCGCGGUGCAUUAGCUAGUUGGUGAGGUAACGGCUCACCAAGGCCACGAUGCAUAGCCGACCUGAGAGGGUGAUCGGCCACACUGGGACUGAGACGCGGCCCAGACCCCUACGGGAGGCAGCGGUAGGGAAUCUUCGGCAAGGGAAGAAGUUCUGACCGAGCAACGCCGCGUGAGUGAAGAAGUUUUUCGGAUCGUAAAUCUCUGUUGUUAGAGAAGAACAAGGAAGUUAGUAACUGAACGUCCCCUGACGGUAUCUAACCAGAAAGCCACGGCUAACUACGUG
rnacentral:rRNA from 1 species